rnacentral:lncRNA from 1 species
UUACAAAAUACAUACCUAAUACUGGUGAGGUUUCCAUUUGUUAGAGCUGGUUUGCUUGUAUGGGUUGUUGCCUCUCUUUGGAUUCUCUUUGAGGCUGGGAUUGUAGGGACUGAAAGGCUUUCAGUGUGUGCUGAUAGUAAUGUAUUGAUGAAGAUAAUUAGGACUUUAUUUUCAGUUGGCUCUUUUACUGGGAUUUUCCAAUAUAUACAUAUAUUGCUUUAUAUUUUAAAUGGAAAAAGAGGAGUUUUUAAAAAAUUGAGUAUGGGAUAAACUGAGACGAGAAACAGAUGAUAGAGAUAGACCAUGAUUUUUUUUUUACUAUUUUGACAGAAAGGAUAUUCUCCUAAGCACUACAUGAUGAUAAAUAAUAAUCAGGAACAGAAAUGGCUAGGAUGCCUUGCUAAUGUUUUUCCCAGGCCAUCUGCCUUACAUAAGACAAAAUGUAAAUUUCAGUAAAGUGUUAUCUGAUCCAGUAUCAUAGUGCAUAAGGUCUUCUGUUGACUGUCUAUGUUAUCAGAUGCGAUAGAUCCAGAUAUGGCUUUCUUCUUUGUGGAGCUCUUGAAAAGUAGUGAAUAAGGAUGAAAUUGCAUGAUAAAUAUGGCACUGUUGGUAAAAAUAACGGCCAUGUGUUCUCUGUCCUCAGUAUGCGGUGCUCCUUACCAAAGCCUGUGUCUUACAGUGGCCUGAUGGCCAGCGAUGAUGGUGCCACUGUCUUAAAACCUCUGUCUUGCAUGAUGGAAGACUUACCAAGCUCUUCUGUAGUUGAUUAAUGUACCUCCAGAUGCCCUUCUGGUUCCUGCUGGAAGAUGGAAGAGA